UACGUAGGGCGCAAGCGUUAUCCGGAAUUAUUGGGCGUAAAGAGCUCGUAGGCGGUUUGUCGCGUCUGCCGUGAAAGUCCGGGGCUCAACUCCGGAUCUGCGGUGGAUACGGGCAGGCUAGAGUUCGGUAGGGGAGACUGGAAUUCCUGGUGUAGCGGUGAAAUGCGCAGAUAUCAGGAGGAACACCGAUGGCGAAGGCAGGUCUCUGGGCCGAUACUGACGCUGAGGAGCGAAAGCGUGGGGAGCGAACAGG
rnacentral:rRNA from 1 species